rnacentral:rRNA from 1 species
UACGUAGGGUGCAAGCGUUGUCCGGAAUUAUUGGGCGUAAAGAGCUCGUAGGCGGUCUGUCACGUCGGCUGUGAAAUCCCGAGGCUCAACCUCGGGUCUGCAGUCGAUACGGGCAAACUAGAGUAUUGCAGGGGAGACUGGAAUUCCUGGUGUAGCGGUGAAAUGCGCAGAUAUCAGGAGGAACACCGGUGGCGAAGGCGGGUCUCUGGGCAAUAACUGACGCUGAGACGCGAAAGCGUGGGGAGCGAACAGG